GUUUUAUAUGAUUUGUUAACUUUGUCAGAAUUGGUUGUAUGAUCCUGAUAUGGUUUGUUAACUUUGUCAUCUAUGAUAGGUGAAAAUGCAAGCUUUAAAUUCACUCUAGCUUGGAGAAUCAAACAACAGUCAUACAUCAAUAAAAGUCUUAUUUAAAAGAGAACAUGAAAAUUAAUUUUCAAUAAUGAAAAUGCACACAGCAUGUACAGACAUAGUUACAAAGACAAUAUUAUUUUUUUUUGAAGUUGAAUUAAAUGACAAACAAAUACAAUAAUUCAUAUUUAAAUAAGCACAUAAAAUAAGUGCUGUGUUUAAAUAACGCGGCCAGUAUUAUAUUAAAACUCUUUCUCUUCAUGUAAUAUUUGCGAUCCACUCCCAAUCUAACUUUGAGGCAUUAGAUUAGGAUUGGAUCACUGGUCAAUUUCAGAGUCAUAGUAACCUUGUUAUGCAAUUCUCCUGCUGGGCAGCUCGCUGUAGUACAGUGGUUUGCAGCUGAUCUAGGUCAGAAUUUGAAUUCUGAUAAACAAGAUGUGCGCGUUUUCUUGUUGUCGAUUUAAAAGAAAAGCCUUUGCAUCAUGUAAGCAAUAAAAAUAAGUGCUGGACUAUUAACUCUAUACUCGCUACCGACAUUUCCAUCUUCAUGAUUAACAUUUGAAUUGCAUUCAAAUUACCAAAUUCAAAAGACCCGCCUUUGGUGAAGACAAAAUUUGUGGUGCUUAUAUACAUAUAUAAAGAGCUUAUAUCAGAGGAUAGACUACUUCAUUUGGGAGCCCUUUCAGUGUUUGUGAUUCUGAAUAAUAGAUCCACCACUCUGCUGAUUCUGUAGUGAACAAAUGUUGUAAUUAUAUGCUUUUGCAGAAUCAUAAAUAAGCAGUGAUAUCAAUGAGUUCCGGAUUAUUCUUUAAGAAGAAUGGAUUUCUGUGAUUCUGUUCUUAUAAAAUUCAGUGAAUAGUUUGGAUAAUGUUUUAUAUUAAGAUCGUCAUCUUAUUAAGGAAGAUCAUUUGUUGGGAUUAUAUUUAUAUGACGUCAUGGUUCAUGUGAAAUAUGUAUAUAAUAUUUUUUCUUAAUUUUUGGUAACUGAAAUUAUUUAUCAAAUAUUAAAGAGAACUUUAUUGCAAAUAUCAAAGUGUUUAGUUAAAUUGUAUAAGAAGUAGAAUUUUCCUAUGAGUUGUUCAAUUUAACAGAUCAUACCAGGAUCAUGAUUUUGAUACGAGUUGUGAGCUACAACAGAUCAUACCAGGAUCAUGGCUUUAAUAUGAGUUGUUAGCUACAACAGAUCA